ensembl:lncRNA
GCACUUAAUUCUUUAUUGAAAACCAUUAACUGGAGUUCAGUUCUCUGAGCCCCAGUUUCAAAUUACCCACAGGAAACACCAGGCUGAGAGAGUGGCUUUCAAGGGCAGAGUCAUCUCCUCGAAGAGACUGGCUCCGGGACUGGGGCUGUGGGGACUUAUUUAUUUUGAGAGGCAGUAACAGCAACAGCAGCAAUCAUUUCAACUCCUGGAUGCAUAAAAGCAGGCGAAGCACCCUCCUCUUCCUCCCUCUCUUUAACAAUAACCCAAAGCAUCAAGGCUGGCAGGAAGUAUUAUCACCCAGGAUGGAUGGGAAACCGAUGGCCUGAGGGUCACACAAGCAAGCAGGCAGGCAGGCUCCGGAUCUCCCUGCCUGUGAGCCCCAUGACCCUCCUGUCACAGCACUUCACGGACCACCCAUAGCGGGGCCUGCCCGGUGAGAAGCACUGCAAGGGAGAUAGGUGAGGGGAAUGGGACUCUGGCCCUUGACCAGAGACCAGUCGUGACUGGGCGGGGAGACAAAGAAAAAGACAAGGGUCUCAAAGACCCUGGUUCUAGUGGGGCCUGUCACUAACUGCCUAACCCACGGUGGGGUUAAUUAUUAUUCAUGGGACAUGAAGGGAGAGGCAUUGCUAGAAGAAUAAGGACAGGAGUGGGGAAACCGAAAAAAGUGUAUCCUCAGUCCUCUCUAUCAAGAUUUCUAGCCAACUGGAAAGAAACCGCAUUCAUUCAUUCAUUUUUGAAUCGCCGAAGGUUACACUGAGCAAAGUACAAAGAAUUCUCACUGACUCCUCCAAACAGCAUUUUGAAGUGGUACUACUAGUCUCCCCACCAACCAAGAAGGAAAGUGAGGCUCCAGGAGUUUGGGUGAUUCUCUCAUAAUUACACACAAGUAGCAGAAUCUUCACCCUGACUUCACGAUUCCCAUGACUUCUUUAUCACCAUCACAGUCACAAUUUGAUGAACAUCUGCACUGAGACCCAACAAGGGUCUGGAGACCACAAAGGCCCUGUGGAUCUCCAGGGAAGGUAUCCGAGAGUUGAGAGGUGGGAGAGACUUGGCCAAAUGAAAAAAGCAGGGGAGAAAGUUCCACAAAGGGGCAAUGACACAGCCCAGGGUUGGGGAUAUCAAAGCACACGGCGUGUUAAGGCGACUCAGGAAUUGCUGAACUGUCUGAACUAAGCACAGACAGUACAGAGGGGCCCUGCCCUCUGGAAGUAUGCAGCCCCCAGGAGAGAGAUGAAAACACAUCAAAUGACUUAGUAUUUGAGGCAAAUUGGAUCCUAUUCAGCUCUCUGGAAAGCCCAAUGCAAUAAGCCUGCUCCUCUGUCCACAACGCCCCUUCGGAUGGAUGAAGACAACAGCUGUUGUUCUCACAUCUCCUCUUUCCAGCCAAACACUCCCAGAUUUUGCACCCAAUAUGAUUACCAAAUUACUACAGGAUUUAGCCGCCCUUGAGAAAGAAACAAGAAAGAACAAACAAUAGAAGUAGUUCCCUGAUGCCCAGGCUGGUGUCUUGCCUCUGGAUCGGCAGCCAGUACCGCAGUGAACUACCCGCGGAAAACAGUCACAGCCUGUUUGCCUUCCCCAGUCCCUCAGCUCCCACAGCCAAGCUGGACACCAGCUUGGACACUCCAGGGAUCUGUCUCCACCUAAACCUUGUCCCGUCCCUGCCCCUGACUGGCCCUUAUUUGAGCUGGGUCCAUUUUCUUGGCCACAUUGCUGACUGCAGUGCACGCUCAUUCCAGAAAAUGCCGACCUCUGCUCCAAGCCGCCUUGUCGGCAGUUUCCCAGACAUAGCUGGACUGUUUAUUUAUUUAUUUUUGUGUUAGCAGAGAGGAGAAAAUCACAUCGGCCUAAAAUGAAUACUAAUGAAAUGCCUUCGUUAGCUUCCUUUGUGAUCAGAAUGAAAAAUCGGAUUUCCGCAGAAUUGCAAGCCAUAUAUUUCUUUCCCCCAACCUUUUUCUCUUCUUUUUUUUUUUUUUUUUGCCCUUUCCUCUGAUAGGAAGAUUAGGGACAACCAAGAAGGAAAGUUAAAGUCAUUCCAUAAAAGAUAUCUGCAUUUUUAGGGGUGCCUUUGUUGCAGAGGGACAAGGAGGUGCAAUUUCUCCAAACCCAUUUUUCUCAGCCUGUAAAGCAAAUGUACCUAUUUGUCCUCUGCUGCAACAAUGCCAGCUGCAUUCAAUCAACUGAGAAGCUGCAAGCCAUAAACCUUCUUCCCACAGCUACAGGGGUGGGGGUGGGGGGAGGGAGCAAGCAAGAGAGGAGGCAUGCCAUAAAAAUUCAUCAGAAUAAUGUAGGGAUGAGACGCUCUCAGAUCGCCGGCAAGCAAUCAACCAAUCACUCAUCUCGUGGCAUUUACAGCACGUCUCAUUCCCCUGUUCCUUAAGGACAAUUGAUUUUUCCUGAUUCCAUUAGCAUAACGGCGUGGAAAAUGUCUGCAGUGCAAUAUUUCUGGAAAGUUCCAACAAGUAGGCUGGGCACUGGAGUGUGACCAUCUCCAUAAAGCUUCCUCAGGCUCCGCGGCAGACAUGGCCACAGUCACUGCACAAGGCCCAGAGAGAAUGGCGCAGCCUCCAAAACUUGGGGGUCCAAGGGCACCUCAGGGGUGUCUAACUAGGUAAUUG